GGACGAACGCUGGCGGCGUGCCUAACACAUGCAAGUCAGGGAGAAAGAGGUAGCAAUAUCUUGAGUAAACCGGCGAACGGGUGAGUAACACGUAAGCAACCUUCCUUAUGAACGGGAAUAACCCCGCGAAAGCGGGGCUAAUACCCGAUGACAUUUCGGUGCAGCAUUACACUGAACUCAAAGGCUCCAAAAGAGCGUCAUAAGAUGGGCUUGCGUCCCAUUAGAUAGUUGGCGGGGUAACGGCCCACCAAGUCGACGAUGGGUAGCUGGUCUGAGAGGACGAUCAGCCACACUGGAACUGAGACACGGUCCAGACUUCUACGGAAGGCAGCAGUGAGGAAUAUUGCUCAAUGGGCGAAAGCCUGAAGCAGCGACGCCGCGUGAGGGAUGAAAUCCGUUAGGAUGUAAACCUCUUUUGAAGGGGAUGAAUGUCCCGACUUGUCGGGAUUGACCGUACCCUGUGAAUAAGCACCGGCCAACUACGUGCCAGCAGCCGCGGUAAUACGUAGGGUGCAAGCGUUGUCCGGAAUUACUGGGUGUAAAGGGUCCGCAGGCGGGCAGACAAGUCGGUGGUGAAAGCUCUUCGCUUAACGGAGAGACUGCCAUCGAUACUGUUUGUCUUGAGUUCGAGAGAGGAUGAUGGAAUUCAUGGUGUAGCGGUGAAAUGCGUAGAGAUCAUGAAGAACACCGGUAGCGAAGGCGGUCAUCUGGCUCGAUACUGACGCUCAGGGACGAAAGCGUGGGUAGCAAACAGGAUUAGAUACCCUGGUAGUCCACGCCUUAAACGAUGGAUAUUCGGUGUCGGUCCGCAAGGAUCGGUGCCUGAGCCAACGCGUUAAAUAUCCCACCUGGGGAGUACGAUCGCAAGGUUGAAACUCAAAU
rnacentral:rRNA from 1 species